GGGCUGGGCAGUCGGCGGCCGCGGCCAGCCUCGCAGAUAUCUCUAGAGCUUUGGGCCCCGGGUCCCCACGAAGCCUCGAGCGGCCUGGGGUCUGCCCAUCUCCUCCCGGGCCCUCUGCGACCGCUCCAGUCUGAAGGGACCCAUUGGCUGUCGCGUUCCCUGGAGUCGCGACUUUCUGGGGCCCCGGGCUGGGGGGAGGAAGAGAAGACUUGGGGUUCAGAGCCGCCCCCCCUCUCCUGCAGUGGAAAUGGACUUCCCUCGGGUCGAGUACAGAACUUCCCACACAGGCGGGUGGGUGAGUGCCCUUGGCGUUGCCCUCAUUGAUCCGGCUGGACACCAGAAACAGAUAAUCUGGUGAGCAGCUGAGGCACAGACUACCUGGGCUCCCACUUAGAGGCUGAUAUAGGACUGAAGAAGCAGCUGCUCUGUCAAACCUAGAGAUCUUGAACCUGAGGGCUGUGGACAUAUUCUUUGUAUCUUCCCUGCAGCUUGGCACCAGUCUGGAAAUCCGCGAAGGCAGGACCACUUCUGUAUGUUCAAUUCUAUAUUUUCAGCAUCCAAAACCAUUCCUGUCACAUGCAGACAUUCUGUUGAAAAAGUAAAUGCACGGAUGGUGUCCUGGAAGCACUCUAUGAUUAUCCCUGGUAAUUUGCUUGUCCUAAGAUCAAUGCUUAAACAACAGCACAUGAACUAGAUAACAACUCCACAGUUAUUUGUAUCAGGCAUCAGAAAAAUCUUUCUGGGAGCCUUGAAACGAGGACACCACUAUCUUAGGACUUCUAAAAGUGAAGACCAAACACAAUUUAAAUAAAAAGAUAUGUCAUAAAAGACGUACAUCAACCUCAGUAAUUAGAAUUGGAAUUCAAAGUGAAUCAAUUAAAAAAUUUCACAAAGCCUGCAUGGAAAACUGCACACUGCCCCUUUUUCAAGCUGUCCAACACUUAGGUUGCUUUGUUUCAAGUAGAAAUGGAGUGAAAAUAUGGCAGUGGGAGGAGCUACGGCACAGAAACCCAAGUCAGAAAUUGCUAACUACUGAGUCAAGCUGGUUGAUAAGAAAG
rnacentral:lncRNA from 1 species